rnacentral:rRNA from 1 species
UAGGCGGACCGGGGUGGAGGUAAGUGUCUGGGAAACUGCCCGAUGAGGGGGAGUAACUACUGGAAACGGUAGCUAAUACCGCAUAACGUCGCAAGACCAAAGAGGGGGACCUUCGGGCCUCUUGCCAUCGGAUGUGCCCAGAUGGGAUUAGCUAGUAGGUGGGGUAACGGCUCACCUAGGCGACGAUCCCUAGCUGGUCUGAGAGGAUGACCAGCCACACUGGAACUGAGACACGGUCCAG